rnacentral:rRNA from 1 species
UUCCUACGGGAGGCAGCAGUGAGGAAUAUUGGUCAAUGGGCUUACGCCUGAACCAGCCAAGUCGCGUGAGGGAAGACUGCCCUAUGGGUUGUAAACCUCUUUUGUCAGGGAGCAACGCCGGCUACGUGUAGCCGGACUGAGAGUACCUGAAGAAAAAGCAUCGGCUAACUCCGUGCCAGCAGCCGCGGUAAUACGGAGGAUGCGAGCGUUAUCCGGAUUUAUUGGGUUUAAAGGGUGCGUAGGCGGAAGGUUAAGUCAGCGGUCAAAUGUCGGUGCUCAACACCGGCCUGCCGUUGAAACUGGUC